rnacentral:rRNA from 1 species
UGGGGAAUAUUGCGCAAUGGGCGAAAGCCUGACGCAGCGACGCCGCGUGAGGGAUGAAGGUUUUCGGAUCGUAAACCUCUGUCGGAAGGGAAGAAACCGCACUGUGCUAAUCAGCAGUGCCUUGACGGUACCUUCAAAGGAAGCACCGGCUAACUCCGUGCCAGCAGCCGCGGUAAUACGGAGGGUGCAAGCGUUAAUCGGAAUUACUGGGCGUAAAGCGCACGUAGGCUGCUUUGUAAGUCAGGGGUGAAAUCCCACGGCUCAACCGUGGAACUGCCUUUGAUACUGCUUAGCUUGAAUCCGGGAGAGGGUGGCGGAAUUCCAGGUGUAGGAGUGAAAUCCGUAGAUAUCUGGAGGAACAUCAGUGGCGAAGGCGGCCACCUGGACCGGUAUUGACGCUGAGGUGCGAAAGCGUGGGGAGCAAACAGG